UACAGCCUGGGAGGGUGAGCGUCAUGGCGGCUCCGUGCCCGCUCCCAGCGACCCAGGAGCUGUCCACGUUGCAUGCCAAGUUGCAGGGGCUGCUGCGGUUCCUGAGGGAAGCCCUAGCCAUUUCGAAUGCGCAUACGGUGGACUUCUACACGGAGUCCCUCUGGGAGCAACUGGUCGACCUGCCGCCGGAGACGGUACUGGCGGUGCUGAGGAGCUCGGCGGCCGAGACGGAGGCCCGGCCGUCGGAGGCGCGCCCCCUGGUGGAAGGCGAGAGGGAAGCAGGUAUUACUGAUUUUCCCAAAAUAUUUUGUGAAACUUCCCAGAAGCUGGUGAGUGUGGAAGGCUUUGCUCUGGCUGCAAAAUAUUAUUCUAUACAAAACUUGGGAAUAUGUACUCCUUUUGAACAGUUACUUGUAGCCCUUCGAGGAAAUCAAAAACAGAGAACUGGUGAAAAUGUGAAACCAGAUGAGUUUAUGAAUUUGAAAAAAUCUCACGAAGUUCAGGCAAUGUCAGAGGUGAUCAGCAGUGUUGCUGAGUACUGUGGAAUAAAACAGGUAAUUGACCUGGGUUCUGGAAAAGGCUACCUAAGCUCCUUUUUGUCUUUGAAGUAUGGGUUAAAAGUUUAUGGAAUCGAUUCCUCAAAUACCAAUACUCAUGGAGCUGAGGAGAGAAACAGGAAAUUGAAGAAACAUUGGAAAGUCUAUCAUACUCGGUCAAAAUUAGAUGUCAAUGGACUGGUGUUAAAAAUGGCAAAAGAAAGGAAAGUGCAAGAUGGAAUUAACUGUAAAGCAGAUAUUGAGGGAGAUUGUGACAGCAGUCCCGCGAAUCAAGAAGAGAAGUGUACCUCAGAUUUUUUGCCAGAUUUUUCAGGCUCUGUAAUUUCUAACAUCAGAAAACAAAUGGAAAACCUACAUGUUCAUUCACAUCAAGAAGACAAUUUGUGUUUUGGAAAUGCAUUUUCUCUUAUAGACCUUUUGCCUAUUAAUGCCAUAGAACCUACUUCUUCAUGCCGGAUACCUAAGAGAAAAAUGUCUGAAGCAAAUAAAGAGAGAAGAAAAACAACAUCGAAGUCAAAUGAAUCAAAUAUAUAUUCACCUUUAACAUCGUUUAUCACUGCUGACUCAGACCUAAAUGAUAUUAUUAAAGAUCUGGAGAAUUGUUUGAUGGUAGGUCUACAUACUUGUGGUGAUCUUGCUCCAAAUACUCUGCGAAUAUUUACUUCCAAGUCUGAAAUCAAGGGAGUUUGCAGUGUGGGUUGUUGUUACCACCUCUUAUCUGAAGAAUUUGAAAACCCGCCUAAAGAAUGUACUCAACAAAAGUGGGGAUUUCCAAUGUCCUGCUAUUUAAAGGAAGAAAGAUGGUGCUGUGGUCGUAAUGCCAGAAUGUCAGCCUGUUUGGCGUUGGAGCGGGUUGCAGUUGGCCGAGGGCUGCCCACCGAAUCACUCUUCUAUCGUGCUGUACUUCAGGAUAUUAUUAAAGAUUGUUAUGGCAUCACCAAAUGUGAUCAGCAUGUUGGUAAAAUUUAUUCCAAAUCCUCUUCCUUUCUGGAUUAUGUCAGAAAGUCUCUAAAGAAGCUUGGAUUAGAUGAAUCCAAGCUGCCAGAAAAAAUUAUAAUGGACUACUACGAGAAGUAUAAGCCUAGAAUGAAUGAGCUGGAAGCUUUUAAUAUGUUGAAAGUUGUUCUGGCUCCUUGUAUAGAGACACUGAUUCUUCUGGAUCGACUUUGCUACCUGAAAGAGCAGAUAUUGCAUGGUCUGCGCUUGUAAAGUUGUUUGAUCCUGUGAAAUCUCCCAGAUGUUACGCUGUUAUUGCUCUGAAGAAGCAGCAGUGAUAAUUGAAGCAAGCCCUGUGGUCUCCACACUUUGGUGGGCCGACGAAUUAAGGUAUAGUUUUAUAUUCAAAAGAAAAUAAAUAAACAAACCAAAAAAUGUAAGUGUAUUUUCCAUAGAAAUAUAUUCUCAUAGGAAACACCUUUAAGAGAUCCUUCAGCUCACUGUUCACAGGUUUAAAAAAAAAACUUAUUCGACGAUAAAAAUCCCAUUGACAUUCCAAAUUAUCUAUUUUUGUUUUUACUACUUCAGGUAAUAUAUUUCAUACUUAGCUUUUAUUGUCUUAUAAAUAUAUGAUGUUAUAAUCAGAACUUUGCAAUUUAAAGUUAAAAUUUGCAGCUCAAGGUCACUUUUGAAGGAAUUGAACACUAAUGGUAGUGGUUAAUUAUAACUUACUUAAGAAUAUUAAUGAAAACCAAGAAGCUUCCUGCACAAGAUACUAACUUUAAUUUUAAAGUAAAUCUUAAUAUAAUUACUAAAAAUAAACCUAAAGGUAAUUGCUAAUUUAUUAAAUCCCGAAUACUGUGGCGUUUUACAUAUCAUAUAUACAAGGGCCACCAAAAGAAUCAGAGGGGGGAUUUUAUGAAGAGAUUUACUUAUAAAUGAAAUUUGAAAGUUCCAAAGCAAAAUUUCAAAAACAGCCGACCAAACAAAUGUCCAAAUACCGUACUGGUAAGGCAAAAACAUUCCGAAAAGCUGGUAGGCAUAUAGCAAUGCCUAAGACUUCAACAUUACAAUUACAGAGUAUGUUUCUUAGUUACCAGUACUGAUCUUACUGGACAUUAGAAUAGUAAAUAAAAUUGUAAGAAAUUAUUCUAAUAUACAGUACCACUUCUUUUUAAAUUGGCAUUCACCACAGUGUAUGCUUCCUUGUCCAAAGCUUAGUUUCCAGAUGUAGAAACGAUAUGAGAAGCAAAAAUUAAGCAGGAAACUCUCUGCAUCUCUUCUUUUCCUCAAGUAAAAUGAGCUUAGAGUCUUAGUACUCAAAAAUGCAGUCCACAGACCAACAGCAUCGGCAUCACCUGAGAGCUUGUUAAAAAUGCAGACUCUCAGAUCUACUCAGUCAGAAUGGGCAUUUUACCCAGACCUACUCAAUCAGAAUGGGCGUUUUCAGAUCCCCAAGUGCUUAACAUUUGAGAAGACAGCCUUAAAGUGGGUCCUCUCAGAUGGUUUUAUGCCCCAAAACACAGAAGGUCCUGCCACGCUCCAUAGUGUCUGCUGCGUUCCAAGGUUGGUGAGCAUGUAAAUCACAAAAUGCACCCACAUCUUGGCUCAUGAGGUCUGUAUCUAAGAAGAUUAGGUCCCCGUCUCUUCAGCCACUGACAAAGAAUAAAUACAAAGGAGACCAGAAUUUCCCAAAUCUCUUCUGCCUUCAGCUGGCAUUCUUUAACAGGGAUUACUCCAGGAGGAUUGGUUAAUAAAUUUUGGUUUUGAAUUAUGUUUUGCAUCCAUUUCUCCCAAAUGACUGUAGCGAUGUCUUUUAAUUAUAAGGUAAACUAUUGAAUUGAAAGUAAAACUUAAGAAUAUGAAAAUGCUCUGUAUGAUCCGUACAUCUAUCAUAAAACUCUGACUUGUAAAAAAUAUAUAUAGCAAUUAGGAACAGCUCUUCAGAAGGCCUUUAUAUCUUUUGGUGGGCUCUCCACACCAUAUGCUGUACCUUUCCUGUUUCUCUGUGAUUAUCAUAUUUUUUCACCCAUGGGAUCUGUUCAUAUUAAUAAAGGUAGCAAAUAGUUGGCAUUGGAAUUUGCACAGAAUUUAUUAAUAAAAUCAAGAUACAGUGAAUUUAUUGGGGCAAACAAAUCAGGUUCCUGGGCUAACACUCAAAUUGCCUUCACAUACAAGCUGUCAUUUUUACAAAUCCAUGAAAACUGAGCAAGGGACUUGGCUCUUGAAUAUAUGGUCAGGCUAUUUAAAACUUUUUACUUUUCCUCUUUUUGUUAAAAAAAUGAAGAUUCUAUAUUUAAAUUACUGAUAUUCCCACCACUGAAUAGUUAUUUUCAUUUGGUCCAAAUGCAUACAUUUUUUACAUUUGCAUUAACAGUCAGUAUAGCAUUUUAUGUUCUGCCUCUUUUACUUUACAUUAUCUAAGAAGCAUUUUCCCAUGAUGCUAUACCUGCCUUCAGGAUGAUCAUUUUUAAUGACUUCGUAAGAAUCCAUCCUAAUGAGAUAUGUUCCAUUUACCCAUUAUUUUGUUGUUAAACCUGUAGGUUGUUUCUCACCUCUUGCUGUUGCACUCAGGACUUCUGUGAAUGCCUUUGAGCCUUUGGGAUGAUUCUUUUCUACAAUUAUUUACCCUCUAAGGAUAUAUUCCCAGAAGUAGGAUUGCUAGUUAAAGGCUGAUUAUAUAAUUAAGUGCAUUUUAUACAUUACUAUUUAGGAGCUCUGUUUUUUCAAACCCCUUUGAAACUGCUAGGGCCAAAUUUUGCAUUUUGAAAGAAAUAUAUAGGACCUUGAAUUUAGUUGUUCUCAUAAAAGCUGCCAGCUUGGGAAAUCAUAGGUGGUUAAACAUAGGAUACACAGACAGCUUCAUGACAGUGAACUGCAAACCUUGACUAUUCUCCUGCCUAGAUAUUUAUAUAUAAAAUACAGGGAAACACAGGCAAGCAAUCUAUUAAUAACUUGACAGAAAUCAGUUCAGAUAACUGAAGUCUGCCAGAUAACUGUGCCAAUAAACAAUUCAAAUAUACCCUCCAAAAAUACACAAGUGAAUUUUUAAAAACCUAUAACUUAAUCUUUGUUGAAAACUCUGUUUUUUCCUGCCCCUAGAAACUGCCUCCAAUCUAGUAAAUGCUAAAAGCAUAUAGUCUAAGCGAAAUUAUGAACAGACACAGAAAGCCAAUUUAAACAGAUGUCAUAAUCAAAAAAAUUUUACCCCACUUACAGUAUUAGUUAAUAGAUGUCAGAAUGGCUAGCUUGACAGGAAGAGAAGAAUGGGGCCACUUCAGUUAUAGAUUUCAUGGAGUCCCCCCAGAAGUUCCAUUUUUAUUGGCCUCUUCUGUUCAGUUCAAAGGUGUUGUACAAGUCCCUUCCUGGCAAGCAGGGACACAUCAUCAAUUUCUUUGACAGCUUUGAAACUCUACUAUUCAAAUUGCUCUUUCACCAUCGCAGUCUCCAUGGAAGGUUCCAGUAUGUUAACAUAAUUCCAGAUUCUCCAUUCUCAAGUGUGCUGGCAUCUGAGCAGCUCUCUGAAGGAGUCUUCUUAAAUGACCAGAUCUGUUUAAAAAAUUUUAGAGGUCACUCCAACUUUAUAUUUCUCUUAUACACAUACAUACCAUUCAUACAGAGUGUCCUUGGCAACUACUCAAUUUUUAAAAGGUUUUUUAAACUCCAAAUGACAUGAUGGAUUAUAACAAUAAUGCCAGCUAAAUAUUUAUUGAGUGCCUACCCUGUGCUAGGUGCUGUUCUAAGCACUUUAUAUUUAUUAACUUAUUUAAUCCUCACAACAAUCCCUAGAGGAAGGGACUAUAUUACUUCUGCUGUUUUACUGACGAGGGAAUUGAGACUCAGAGAAGUCAAGCAACUUGCUCCAAGUAGGAAUAGGCAGGAAGAGAGCUAGGGAAUGGUAAAGUCAAGAUUCAAAUCCAAGCGUUCUGACUUGAGAGUCUAACCACUUAACCACUACAGAUACUGUCUUACCUCUUGAUUAUUUGAGAGUCUUCUGUAUUGCUCUUUCAUUUUUUCAGUUUCCUCUGGGGGAAAGCAAGAUAUUGGUGGAUGCAUAGCCCUACAGACCUCAAGCAAUUGAGGGUUUCUUGGUUGCCCUGCCUCUGAAUGGGUAGGUCUCCCUAAUCUACCAGUCGGAUGGAACUGUUUUUGCAAAUGGCCAGAAUAAUAUUUAUAUUAUUCUUAGACAGAAACCUAGAAAAUGUCUCAUUAUUAAAAUGAAGCAAAAUGUGUACAACUAAAAUCAUAUGUAAAUUGGUUUUGAAUUUUCUGCCCAAAAUAGUAUAUAUUUGCUUCAUUUUUUAUAUUGAAAAAUUAAAGCUGAGAGUUAAGGGCACUUUCCAAAAAAUUACCUAGCUAAAACUUUGACAUGCUAAAACUCAAAAUAAAUGACAAUUAUAUAUAGUGUUCAAACAAGGCCAUUCAAUGACUUGUUUGGAAAAAGACAGACAAGAUCAUUCUCAAAAUCCUCUCUUCUAACUAACACGUAACUGCCACUUUUUAGCAGUGACUACUCCAGGCCCACUUUAAUCAUCCUGCCUACAUAUAAAAAAAGUAAGACCAGUGAUUGAAUUUCCCCAGCCCCUGACAACAUCCAAUUCAUAACUGGACCCCAUGUUUUUAAAUCCUCCCUACAACCAUGGAAUACAAGCCCAAGUCUUAUAAGAAGCUCCUGAAAACUUUUUUACUGAGACAACCCCCAGUUCCUCUUAAGUGCACUCCCCCUGGCUGCAGUAAGUGAAAUAAAUCUAACUCUGACUACUGUUAUGUUCCUACUGCUCUUUGGCAGAUGGGCUAUAGCAGAUUUUAGAUUGUUUGACUAGAGGAAAGGUGGUGCUAGGGUACACUGAAAAGCAAUAUUUGAGAGAAGAUUGAAAAUUGCAUUUUAUACAUAUUGAGUUUAGGAUGCUUUUGAGAAAUUCAUAUGAUGUUAAAGAAGCACUGGUCUGCAAAGGUCUGUAGAACAAAGAGGAAGCCUGGAUACAAAUUUAGAAGUUACCAACAUUCAGAUGGAAAUUGAAGCUAUGAUGUGGAUGAGAUCACUCAGUACAAAAAGCAAAGGGAGGGAAGAAUGGGAACUAGGACCGAAUCUUCAAUAACUCUAAUAUGAAGGUUCUGUAGAGAAGGAUGAACAACAAAGAAGGCUGAGAAAGCACAUUCAGAAACAAAGCAGAAAGACCAAGAGAAUGUCAUCACAAGAACUAAGAAAAAGGCUAUUUCAGGGCCUUUGGAGAGAUCAAUGGUUGAAAGCAUUUGAGACAUCAAGUCAGUAGAGAAGGGAAGAAGUCCCUUUGGAGUUCAUCAUUGAUAUUUUUUAUGAGAGAUUUUUCAGAGUUGUGAUGGAAGCAGAAGCCAUAUUAAGUGGACGAAGGGUAAGUAUGAGGUAAGUUAAGUGAAGAAAGAAAAAGGGUCUUCCAGAAAGAAGAGUUUGAUAGAGGUAUAAAUAGUGGUUAAGAGAAUGGAUUCUAGAGAGAAAAUGAUAGACUUCAAAUCCCAAUUGUGUCUUUUACUAGUUGUGUGACCUUGCUUGGACUCCUUAACUUACUUGUGCCUCAGUUUCUUCAUGUGUCAACUGGGAGAAAAACAGUAACUGACCACAUGGGCUUGUCAGAGGAAUAGAUCAAUUAAUGGAAUUCCUUGUAUCUAGUAACCUCUCAAUAAAUAUUAGCAACAAUUAUUGUGAAAACAUGAAAUAGCAUGAUGCUAGUAGGGGCUUGAAAGUAGACCAAUGUGAAUGGUGAGUAUGGAGAUAAGACCAGAGAGGUUGACAGGGUCCUAAGCACAGAAGAUCUUGAAUGCCAUGCUAAAGAGGUAGAUUUUCUCUCAAGGCAUAGGAAGUCAUUGAGGGAGUUUAAGAAGAGAGUGAUGUCAUUAUAUUUCUAUUUUAGAAAAAUCACUCAGACUGUAGGCUAGAGGAUGGAUCAGAGUAGGACUGAGCUGAAGGCUGAGACAGCAGUUAGGAGCCUAUUUCAGAAACUUAAAUGAAAAGUGAUAUUGCCUAGAUUAAGGCAGAGAAAGUAGAAAUAGAGAAAAAAAUGAAUCGAGGUAAACGAUCAUGAUUUGGUUACUGAUUGGAUACUGUAGGUGAGAGAGAGAAUGACAUCUAGGAUACUUACUGUUCUCCUCCCCCCAAAUUUCUAGCUUGGGUUGCUAGCUGAGUAGUAGUGACAUUUACUCAGGAAGAAGGUCUAGGAGGGACAAAAGGUGAAGGGGUUGCUUGGGAAUUAGGAUUAUCAUUCAAUUUUGGAUAUGCUGUGUCUGCGGAACACCCAAAUGAUGAAGAUAUCCAUGUACAACCUAGAACCAAUAAGAAAGUUUGAGCUCAAGAUCUGUAAAUAGUUGUUUAAAUCAUGAGUAUUCCAGUGGUUACUGAGGAAGAAUGUCUAGAGAGAGAAUAGUGCUUGAAAGAAACUAUUAUUCAGUGAGUUUAUCUAGGAAAAUAACAUCAGUUGACGAUAGACAAAUGCUAAAUCUUAUUGAGAGUUUGGUAGAAGAUAAAUGAUGGCAACUGCUAUGGCUAACUACCAUCCUCAAAUCUGGUUCUUUAUUUAAGAGUGGAGAGUUAAUGACGAGGAGCAACAAUGGGGACCAAGAAGAAAGCUAACCCCUCUCUCCUCCACUCAGCCUCCCAAGCCUCUCCUCCUGGUCCAUGUUGUGUGAAAAAAUAAUCAUCCUGUAGUGGAGAGAGUGGCAAGGAAAGUAGUUACUUCUAUAAUACCUUGAGAUUUAGCCUAGCUUCAGGAAAGUAGGUGUUUGGUGAAAAAGGGGAUGGAACAGGGUGUUGGUUUUCUCUAAAGCAGGAUUUCCAGAAGGCCUCAGUGGAAAAAGAUGGCAGCAGUGGGAGAAUGAAUGAGAAGGAGGCUGGAGGGGCAAGUGUUCUCUCCUUUGGGGAAGAAUGACAAGAUGAAGGCAUGUAAUUCCAAGUUUUUGGUGAUUCAAACAGAGGCCAUUAGAGGCCUCAGAUGGUCGCUUUCUUUCUCUGUUGAUGAUGAUUACCUCGGCCCAGGUAGUAGAUGUUGCACGCUGAACCCAAGUUAACCCUUUUCCUUACCUUCUUGCCUGAUGUGCUCUACUCACAUUUCACAACCCUCCUCAAAUGUCACUUUCUCUGGAAAUCUUGCCCAGCUGACCUUGGCAAGCUUAAUUUUUUCUUCUUCUCAGCUUCCACAGUAUAUUGGUAUACCUGUGUCAUUAUAAGUAAAAUAUUCCCACUCUACAGUGGAACUCAAAGCAAUGUACAUGAUUUGCCCAAGGUGACCCAGGUUUUCUGACUCUAAGAUCAGUACUCUUUCAUGACAUCAUUGUUCUCCUUCUCCCCGGGAACAGAGAGGAACCUCAUGACUACAAAAUUUUAGCCACAGUUUGUCAUUUUUUUACAAAAAUCAAGAAAGUGUAUAAAGGUAGGUGUUAGAUAAGGUUCGCAUAAGAUCCUGUGUUCUGAUUACCCAGUAAUGAGAGGUCUUAUGCCAGGAUAGCCAAAUGCAGACUGGAACCUGACUUAGAUUAGGAUUCUGGCUUGUCAGCCUCAUUCAAAGGCAGAACUCUGGUUAUGAGCAUAUAAUGGAUAUAGGCAGGAUAUUAAGAAAUUAGUGAGAAAAUAAUUACACUCAAACAAUUUUUAAAAAUAACAUUAAAUAUUGAAUUGGGAAGCCUGUGCUCUAUUCCUGGUGUUGCCACAAGAUAUGUGACACUGCACGAAUCAUUUCACCUCUCUAGGUCUCAGUUUCCUUAUUUCUAUAAUGAGAGAGAUAGAGUCAAUGAUUUCUAAGAUAUCUUUUAAGUAGCCCAUGACACCACAGCCAUAGCUAGUUUGAGGAGCAGAGUGCAGGCUGGGUGGGCCACCCCAGAAUGCAGAGCUGGCAGAAACCCCUGUAAACAGAUCAACAUCAUAGAUCACUCCAAUGAAAGUUAUGCUGUGAAGCAACUCUGCCAGCAGCCUGGCUUUCCCUGCUGAGCUGCACUCAACAGCAGAGUCUUCGCAGUCUUAAAGGACCAAGACAGUACUCUACAUUUGAUUUUCUAUGGGAUUACUUUGGGGGAUCUCAGGAUCUGCGGGAGUAAUUGGUUAUCAGUUAACUCUUAGUGAGAAGAGAAGAGAAGGGAGUGAGGGAGAAAGACUUUGCAGAGUAAAUUUCAGUGCCCUUUGCCAAGGGCAAGAGAAGGUAUCAACAUCACCCCCCUUCUUUUCCUUUAUAUUAUAGAGUUUGAGGUAAAGACCCUGGUUGAGGGGAAGCCACAACUCUAUGUCUCCACUUCCUUCCCUCAUUCACUGCCAACUCACAGCAAACAGAUGCUUCCCCCCCAUCCCAGCAACUGGCACAUGCCCCAGCUGGCAUCCAUAUCACCAAAUCCAAAGGACUCUCUUGACCAUACUUUGGAGUCUGCCACUGCUGAGGACUCCCAUCCUUAAGCUUUCCUAAACUACAGAUUUAACCUUCAACCUAACUAGCCACAAUUUUUUCUCCUUGCCCGUAUCUCCUGCCAAAGGGGUGAACUCAGCCAGCUAUGUUUAAUACCCAAGACUCUCAGGACCACAGGUGAUGGGACCACACCUGGUCAUGGCAGCUGAGAUCCCUGGUGUGACCUGGCUCAAAAAGAAGAAUUAGACCUCUCAGAUUCUCUCAUUCUCAGGAUGGAUGAUUCUAGAAGCAAUAUAUGACCAGGUAAAGCCAAAAUUACAAGGGUCAGAAACUAUUAAUGAGCAGAGGAAGAGAUCAUGAGAGAGAAGAGAUAAAGCCAAAAAGAGAGAGAGAAAUACAAAGGCCAUAGAUUGAGAGAGAUGGAAGGGACGUUUGACCCCCAAGAGUUGCUUCCCGGAAGCCAAAGGAGCCACUGCUCCUACAGUUUUCCCCUUCCACUAUCUGUACCCUCCUAGUCUUCUUUGCAUACUCUUCUCUAUUUGUCCUUUAAAUAUUAGUGUUUCCCACCGGGGGUUCUGACCUUGGCCCUUUUUUAAUCUACAAACUUUCUAAGGUACAUGGUCUUGGCUUCCAAAACUACCUGUAUCUGAUGAUGCUCAAAUCUUAAUUUUUAGGCUAGGUUUCUCUCCUAAUCUCUCUCCUGAGCGCUAGACUUGUUUAUCCAAAUGCCUGACGGACAUUGCCACUCCCAGUGGGCAUUCCCCUGGCACUUCAAAAUCAACAUGUCUAAAAUUAAACUUUCCUGUCAUACCUACUUUUCCUCUAAUACUCCUUUUUCAGUGAAAGAAACUUUCAGCUGAAAACCAAAUUCACCCUAGACUUCUCUCUCCUUGCAACCCAUUUGAACUUUAAAUCAUAUUCAUUCCACCUCUUUCUCUCCCCUCCCUCUUCUCUCCAGUCCCCCUGCUACUCUCUAAGUUCAGGGCCUUAUAACCACCCUCUUGGAUGCCUUGGCAUUGAUCUCCUACCCCUGCUUAUAACUCUUCUGUGGCCUUCCCAUUUUCUUACAGGAAAAUCCAAACCCUUUAGCAUGGCAUCCAAAUCCUCCAUGAUGCUUCGGCUGGCUACUUCCUCAGCAUCAUCUCUGCUGCACUGCAUCUAACCCCAGUUUCAACUUAUCCAGACCUUCUGUGACUCCCACAACAUCUCCAGUUGUUGCCUCCAUCUGGACUUUGCUCUCACUUAUCCCUCUUGUGGGAAGGCUAAAGUUCCUUUCUCUUCCCGUCAACACUUUCCGAUGUUGAUCUUCAAUAUUUAUGAUUCUUCCCCACAUUUAAAUCACUGUCUUUUUAUUAUGUCCCAACUAUAUUCUGUACAGCUGACUAUGACAGCAUCAAUGUCACUUUAUUGCACUUAAUUUUAAAACUUUUGGAUUCCUCUAUUCGACCUAGAGGGACAGAAAAUACAUCAUUUUUACUGUUUGUCCUACGCCUAAAAGUGGAAGCAUUCAGAACAUGCUGUGGAGGGAAGGAAGGCAACAAAUACACUGAUCCCUCAUGGAUCAAAAACUAGCCUCGCCUCUGAGAGAAAAAAGUAAUGCUGGGUUUCCUGCUAUGUGUCAAUUCCUGUGGGAAGCAUAUGCUGAUAUUCUGCCCACACCUCCACCAAUCACCCAGUGUAAGGGUAAAAACAUCAUCUAGGUCACCCGACGUGUGCCCAUUAGAGCACAAGAACAGCGCGUGCUCUGCUUCCCUGCCCAUCUGCCCGCAGGACCGGACCUAAGCUCCUCAAAGGCGGGACCAUCUGAUACACCUUGAAUCUCCAGAUUCGAGCACUGUCAAGUUUCAUGGUUAACAAAGGUUUAUUAAUGAAAUGAACUAAUAUAAUGUCAUAUUGUAUAACAUCUUCUAUUAUAUAUUACGUAUAGUUUAAGAUGAAAUAAAGCAAAGCUGGUAAUACUGAAAUAUUCUAAACUGGAGCUGUAAUGACAUUUUCAACAAGCGUCUGAGGGUGGAGGAUGACCCAAGCAGAAGGUCUGGGAAAUGGGUGGCGAACCGUUUCUGUGCUGGAGACUGUUAACAGUCUGGAAAUGCCUGUAGGUCCCUUCUCAAAUGAUUUUUUUUAAAUACAUAGUGAAAUGCAUAAUAUGACAAAGGAAAUCAGUCCAUGUUGAGUUAGUUACCAAAAGAGGGUUUUCGUUCUUCUUGUUGUUUUACGUAGCAUGAUUUUUUAAUUUAUUAAUUAUUUUUAAAGCUAUCACAAACAGCCCUCUGGAAAUGGUGGCCCAUUCCUUGUCAUAAUUGUUCUCUUCUGAAACAAGGUCCAGGGUAGGCACAUACAUACUAUGGAGCAGAGCUUUGUGAAAGCGUGAAUAGCCCAACUAAUCUAAAAUGUUGGGGCCUCUGGAGAGAUGAUUGGAAUGACUGAGAUUCUCAUGCUACAAUCCAAAAGAGAAAAAUCCAAAAUGCAGUCGUUCCACAGGAUAUUGAUACAUUCCCAACUUGCCAAAGUGCACUUCACAAGCAAUGCUUGUCUUCAUCUGUAACUUUAAUUUCAAUUAUUUUAUUUUUCAUUUGAAAAGUUCUAUUUGGUUCUCCAAAAGAGUUUGUAAAAACAAUAAUUUAGUAAUAAAUGUGUUUAUUAACUCACUAAAUAACAAGAUCAAGUAACAGUUCUAAAAACUACUAUAAUUUUGACAUAACAAUAAUGUGAACAAUAUUUGAAGAUAGCCACAACUAAUAUGUUAUGAAAAUAUCUAUGAUAUGAAGUAUGUAAUAUUGUAAUAUGAUAUGAAAAUAUCUGUACCUUCCAUUGACAACGGAGUCUCAGCUGCAGCCAAUACUACUAAGGUUUGUUGUCCACAUCUAUAACUGAAAGAAACACUCAAUUUCAGUUGGAGGUUAGUGAAAAUAAAGAAGUAAUUUUUCUGCAGGAUCCUAGCUCAUGGAUGCCCUUAAUUCUCUCUGCGGAUCCCCUGGUUUCAGUAAACCCACAGUGUGUGCAAACAGGGAAACAGACGACUGAAAGUAACAACCAAGGGUAGGAACUCUUCCAUCUCGGAGGAACGGUAUCUUUCCAAAUCAGUACAAGCCCCUUCCUACAUUCUGCCAUAAACAGCCACUUCAGGAGCACUUAGGUUUGUGAAGGAUGUCAGUAUUCACUGUAUUUAUUUAAAAUGUAAACGUUUACAAGACUUAGUAUACAGCUACAGUAAUCAAGACAGUGUGGUAUUUUUCAAAGGAUAUCAGUGAAUUAACUAGUGAGUUCAGAAAGAGACCCACACGUAUUUAGUCAGUUGAUUUUUGACACAGGUGCCAAAGCAAUUCAGUGAGAUAAAAUACUCUUUUCAACAAGUGGUGCUAAUAAUUGGAAAUCAAAAUAAAUUUUAAAAAAAAGAAUCUCAACCUUUAUCACAUAUUACAUACGAAAAAUUACUUGAAAUGGAUUUUAGUCCUAAAUAUAAGAGUGAAAACUAAAAAACUUCUGGGAAAAAAAAUUUUUUUUUUCACAAAAAAAUGUAAGCUUUGGUUAAGGAAAGAUUUCUUAGGACAAAAAACAAAUAUGAACAUAUGCAAAAAAUUUGACAAAUUGGACUUCAUCACAUUUAAAAUGUCUGUUAUUCAAAAGACAGUGUUAAGCAAAUGAAAAGACAGACCACAGAUAGGUAAACAAACAAAAAAAAAAUUGCAAAGCACAUACCUGAUAAAGAGCUUGUGUGCAGAGAACAUAAAUAAUAAGAUAACUCAGCAAAAAGAAAGGCAAAAGAUUUGAACAAAGAUUUCACCAGGGAAGAUACACAAAUGGCAAUAAACAUAUGUAAAAAUAUUCAACAUCGUUAAUCAUUAGGGAAAUAUGAAUUAAAAGCACAGGGAGAUACCACUACACACCCAUUAGAGUGGCUAAAAUUAAAAGGACUGAUAAUACUAACUGUUGGAGACAAUGAAGAAAAACUGGAGCCCUAAUACACUGCUGAUGGGGACGCCAAGAAGACAGCCAUUUUGGAGAAGAAUUUGGCAGAUUUUUAUGAAGUUAAAUGUAUACUUACCAUAUGACCCAACAAUUCCACUCAUAGAUAUUUAACCAAGAGAAAUGAACAUAUAUGUCCACACAGCAAAUGUUAAUAGUUACUUCACUCCUAGAGCCAAAAGUCCAUUAACAGCAGAAUGGAUAAAAAUAUUGGGGUAUAUUCAUUCAUACAGCGGAGUACUUCUCAGCAACAAAAAGCAGUGAACAACGUGGAUGAAUUUCCAAAGCAUAACACUAAGUGGCUAGUGAAAUAAGCCAGACACAGUAGACUACAAGCCAUAUGGUUUUAUUUAUAUGACAUUCUAGAAAAGUUAAAACUGUAGAAUCACUGCUUGCCAAUGGGCUGGGGUGAAGGGAGGGAUUGUAUACAACGAGGGGCGAGGGAACUUUCCGGGGUGAUGAAAAUGUGCUAUAUGUUAAUUUGGGUGGUGAAGAUACAACUUCUAUGUUUGUCAAGAUUCAUUAAGCUGUACACUCAUAAAGGGUGAAUAUUAUUGCAUGUAAAGUAUAUCUCAAAAAAACCUGACUUUUAAAGAAAUCUUAAAGUUUUAUCAGAGAGAAAAUAUAAACAAUAUUUUAUUACUAGAGCUGAAUUGUCCUUUUAAAGAAUUUAAUCUCAGGAUUUUCCCCCCAAAAUGAAAGGCAUUUGUGCAUGCUCUAAAUACGGAGAGGAACAGAUGCAUUGGCUCAGUGUCUUACUGAGUUUGUAUGCUAUUUGGAAAUUGGAUUGCUUUGACAAAUUACUUACUAGCCAGGAAAAGCAUUAAAGGAUUAUUUGUCCGCCUUGAUUUCAAAUUUUUCCCUAAUGAUAAAAUCAUUUGAAAUAAAAGAGGGCAGCCAAAGUAGUUUUACUCAGGGAGAUAUUAUUUCAUACACAGAUGCAUCAGAAACAGUAUAAGCAAGAAAAGGAAAUAUUCUCUAAUAUUUAAAUUUUUUUACUUACUUUAAGUGUUAUAGAUAAUAGUAGCAAACAGUUUCAAUCCUAAAUAGCACCUAAUUCAGAAUUCCUUUUAAGUGCUUCUCAACUUAAAGACUUGAAAUCAUGUGUGGGUGUGGGUGUUGUAAACUUCACGUUGUAAUUUGAAUCUUUACUUCCCAGUCCAUUUUAAUACCUACUUUAGUGCUAACUACUUGAGGAUGCUAUCGGGUUAUAUCACUGUUUUUACUUGUUUAUGUUCUCUAAUGUUUUCCUACUGCACUAUAGAACAUUUUGCUUUAAUAGGAUUCUAUGUACUUCAGGAAUUUCCUUGCAAAAAUGUGAUGUUUCCUUCAAUAAAGCAAAGCAAAGCUUUAAAAUCUUCAUAAAAGCAAUACCCUUCAUUUAUUUGUUAAUAGAACAUUAACAUUAUCUGCCUUAUCCAAAAUAAUUAUUUUCUCAUCCACAGUUCAUAGAAUGAAACACCACCACUUAUUUGAAAUGAGUUUCUGUGUAACUAUUAAAUGAAUUAAUUUUUCUCUUUGGACCUUUUCAAAGUAUUGUCAUAACAUCAGUUGUUUUAAUGAAUUUGGUAGAUAGAUAAUUUCACGGUAGAUUAUUUAGUUCAUUAUUUAAUUUAUUUUACUUUUUAUUCUAUUUUUUUGCCAGAGAGGACAACUAACUGCAAAAUUAGCACAAAUUUUUAAAUUUUUUCCUUGGAUGUAGUUGAUCUCUAAGUAAUUGUUUGCUGUAUUUACAUGAGAUCUAUUCUUUCAUAUCUCUAGAGCUGCUGCUGCCCACUACACCAGCUGCUACUCACAUGGGAUUAUUGAAAUUUGUUCAAAUGAAAUGAUAUUAGAAGUUCAGUACCUUGGUCACACUAGACAAAUACCAUGUGCUCAAUAACCGUAUGUGGUUUGUGGCUGUCCUAUCGGACCUCACAGAUAGAGAACGUUUCCAUCAUCACAACAGUUCUGUUGGACAGUGCUGGUCUAGAUCAAGGUCGGAAAACUUUUUUCUCAAAGAGCUAGAUAGUAAGUAUUUUAGAAUUAACAAGCCAAGAGGCAAAAUUGAGGUUACUAUUUAGGUACUUUAUAAGUAUUUGAAAAAUAGAUCCAUUUAAAAAUGGCAAAACCAUUCUUGAGGGCUGUAACAAGCUCGCACAGGCUGGGUUUGAACCAUAGUUUGCGCCCCUCACCCCCCCACCGGAGCAAAUCAUUCCAUCCUUUAUUCACGAUCACAUCUUUGUUGAGUGUGUGUAUGUUUUAAACACUGGGCUAAAUAGUAAGUAGAGCGUAGUGAACAAUAAAGCAUAGUCCAGCCCCUGUGAGUUCUGAAUGUAACAGGAAAAGCACUAUAUCAAAAAUUACACAAUAAUUAAUUAUUGUAAUUUAACAAAUAAAAUGAAGGAGACAAACAGGAUGUUGUGAAAGGGAGUAUCAGAGGAACCUACGCUGCUGUAAAAGAUUGACUUGAUUCUAAAAAUUAUCUGCAACUAAUAUUAAAAUUACAUUUAUUGGUGUUUGGUGUUUUAUUUUCCUCUAUUAGAAAUUUUUAUAGGAAUAAAAGUGUAUAAAUUAAAUGUUUCCUUGUAACCAUAAGAACUUGCCACAGAUUAACUCCUGAAAUGACCCCAAUUUCCUAUUAAUUGUUUAUAUCAAAAUUCAAAUUGAGGCUUUCAUUAAACAAAAUAAUGUGAUACACAUAAAA